CAAGGCACUACUAAAAAACAACAAAACAAUAGAGAUCAUUAAUUAAGAAAAUAUUUUGAUAUUUUCUUCGAUGAGAAUUCUGGCUCCGUCGCUGUGUUUGAGCUCGGAAUGAUGAGAAAUUUGACACUCUGUUGGUGACUUUGGUCCCAAGAGUAUAAUGCCAUGUGUCCAUAUAGUGAUGAUAAUAAUGCUUGAUAUUCCUACAAAUAUUGUUUCACAAUUCCAUUGUACACGAUUUCUUGAACAAAGGUUAGAGCAAAAAG
rnacentral:misc_RNA from 1 species